CGGGACUGCUGUGAAGAUUAAAACAGGGAGGGGCACAGAGGGUUGGGCAUUUAGUAAGAAUUCAUGAGAGAUAACUUAAUCAUUUUUGUCAGUGCUAUUGAUUUUCAGACACAAUCAAUAUAGGGCUGCCCUUUUUCUUUUUUCUACUUCCCUCUGCUCCUCUCUACUCAUAGCCCACCAGAACCCAGAUGACACCUCAUCCAUCAGGACAGUAACGGGAACCCCAAACCAUCCCCUGUACUCAUUUCUCGUAUCUGCUAGGACUUGGCCAGGAAAUGGGAAGGGGGCUGGGCUUAUGGAGGUCCUCCUGUAUGCCCGGCUCUGCGCUCCCGCGUUGUAAGUCACCACCACCGCUGCCCGCCCCACCCCACUCCACUGUACAAAUACAGAGACUGAAGUUUCGAGAGGAAGAAGGCCUCAAGGGUCUGGCUUCACACCCAGCGCAUCCUGAGACCGAGCCCUCCCUCUCAGCCUGGCUUGAGAUUCUCUAUUACAGUAUUGAGAAGUUUCCACAACAGAGACUAAGACAGAAGGGAAGGGAACAGGACCCAAGCUUUGAAAGAAUGAUGCACAUCUUGAUGAUACGACUGAACUAGGCCCACCAGGCCCAAGAUGACAGAAGAUACAACUUCCCUAGACUCUAAGCCUCAUUAUACACUCAUUGUAAUAUACCAGCAUAUGCUAAGUGAUAUACCACACAUGCCAUGACAGUUCUGAAGCUGACCAUAGAAGGCCAAAAAGUGGGUGGUGGCCCAAUUCCUGGAAAUUCUCGCUGCUACCCCAAAAUAGUUGGAAUAAUACUCCCAGUUGUUAGCUUAUGAAACUAUCCAGCCCAUAAAAACUAACCACCCCCACAACCACUGGCCACUCUUGCUUUCUGAGAUGGUCGCCUUUCUGCCUACCGAAUGUGUCUCCCUCUAAAUAAACUUACUUUCACUUUACAGUAUGGCUCACUCUUGAAUUCUUUUCUGUGUGAAGCCAAGGACCCUCACUUGGUGGCCCCUCCCAGGGACUCAUCUGAGGCCUGUGACAUGGCCAUUCUCUUCCAGACAAUUCUCCUGCAACAAGACUGGGGGACAAGACAGCCAUGUUUUCUGCCCGGUGGACCCACGUCUACCUCCAGCUACUGUUCUGUCAUCUCUGCUCCCCAGUGGAUCACCAGCUUUUAGGAACUCCUCUUUCCCUUGGCCCUAGGUUAUCACCUCUCCUGAUGUUCCUGGUCCUUCUCUAUGACAGUGGUCCUUUCUCUGAUUCCUAGUGUGGGAGGCCCAGGGCCCAGUCUCUGAUCAAUCUACUCCCUCAGUCUGGAUGGUUUCAACAAAUCCCCAGGCUUUAAAUGCCAUCUAUAUAUUAACAGCUCCAAAAUUUAGCAUACUUGUAUGGUUAUUGAUAAAAUGACAGGACAUCUGAGAGUCUGCUUAAAAGCUUAAAAAAUAAAACAGAAACUCCAAGAGAAAGUGUACUUAUAAAAUUAGAAAGAAGAAAACAGAAGAAAUAAAGAUAAGUAAAAUGGGAUGACUGGCCAUACUGGGUGGUGGGUUUAGAGGAGUUCUUCAUACCAGAAAAACUUUUGUGUGUGUUUUUAAAACUCCACAAUGAAAAGUCAGUAAAAAAUUCUGUAUCUACAAACACUGGCUUCUCUCUACUGUGACCACUUACUUGGACCCACAUGCACCUCAAAGGUAAGCAGCUCAAAGCUUUUCAAUUUCCCAUCAAGUCUGCUCGUUCCCAUCUUCAAAAAGCAUCACUUUUCACCCAGUGG
ensembl:lncRNA